AUUGAACGCUGGCGGCAGGCCUAACACAUGCAAGUCGAACGAGUGGCGGACGGGUGUAUAAUGUCUGGGACACUGCCUGAUGGAGGGGGAUAACUACUGGAACCGGUAGCUAAUCCCGCAUACCAUCAGAUGUGCCCCGAGGGGAUUAGCUAGUGGGUGGGGUAAAGGCUCACCCAGGCGACGAACCCUAGCUGGUCGGAGAGGAUGACCAGUCACCCGGGAACUGGGACACGGUACAGACUCCUACGUGAGGCAGCAGUGGGGAAUAGGGCACAAUGGGCGCAAGCCGGAUACAGCCAGGCCGCGUGUAUGAAGAAGGCCUUCGGGUUGUAAAGUACUUUCAGCGGGGAGGCGUUACCCGCAGAAGAAGCACCGGCUAACUCCGUGCCAGCAGCCGCGGUAAUAC
rnacentral:rRNA from 1 species